ensembl:ncRNA T24B8.19 ncRNA
CACCUGAUACGUACACAUAUAGGUGUCAUUCAUACAUACCUGUCGACUGAUUCAUCAUUUUUCCCCUGAUCUACCAGCAGCAUCAUCAUCAUAAUAAAAUAUUUCGCUGCUUUUUGUAUUUCAUUUUUAUUU